CGCUGGCGGCGUGCCUAAUACAUGCAAGUCGAACGGUCUUUCUAUGGAAGCUUGCUUCCACUGAGAAGAUAGUGGCGAACGGGUGAGUAACACGUGGGUAACCUGCCCAUAAGAGGGGGAUAACAUCCGGAAACGGGUGCUAAUACCGCAUAGUUUUCUUGAUCGCAUGAUUGAGAAAGGAAAGACGGCCUUUGUGCUGUCGCUUAUGGAUGGACCCGCGGCGUAUUAGUUAGUUGGUGAGGUAAUGGCUCACCAAGACGAUGAUACGUAGCCGACCUGAGAGGGUGAUCGGCCACAUUGGGACUGAGACACGGCCCAAACUCCUACGGGAGGCAGCAGUAGGGAAUCUUCCGCAAUGGACGAAAGUCUGACGGAGCAACGCCGCGUGAGUGAAGAAGGUUUUCGGGAAUCGUAAAACUCUGUUGUCAGAGAAGAACAAGUUGGAGAGUAACUGCUCCAGCCUUGACGGUAUCUGACCAGAAAGCCACGGCUAACUACGUGCCAGCAGCAGC
rnacentral:rRNA from 1 species